AUGGGCUCUAGGCUCCUCUGCUGUGUGGCCCUUUGUCUUCUGAGAGCAGGCCCUGUGGAACUUGGGGUGACUCAGACCCCAAAAUUCCUGAUCAAAGCUAGAAGUCAGACAGUGACCCUGAGUUGCUUCUAUGAAUCCGGGCAUGAUAACGUGAACUGGUACCAAUGGGCCAUAGGCCAGGGCCCUGAAUUUCUGGUUCAGUAUUAUGAUGGGAGAGAGUAUCAGAAAGGCAGCAUCCCUGAUCACUUCUCAGUUCAGCAGUUCAGUUCAGUCUUUCGCUCUGAGCUGAAUAUGAAAUCCAUAGAAGUGAAAGACUCUGCCCUGUACCUCUGUGCCAGCAGCCUCACAGCCCUGCUGGCUCAGCAGCCUCCUGCACAAAAACUCUCCUGCCCAGCCCAAGUGACAGUGGCAGGGAAGCUGCCAGCCAGUCAUGCUUAG